UUAUAUUAUUUACAUUGUGGAUU
rnacentral:snRNA from 1 species